UUCUUCUGACUGCUAACAUCAAGUCAUGUGUCUGGUCGAAAAACUCAUGCUAGAACUGCAGAACAUUGGCCUACAUCCGGAAAGAAUGGCAAGGAGGAAGAAAGUUAAGUUAAGCAAGAUAGAUAAAGCCCUUCUUAAGGGGAUUUUUUGCGGGGAGACUGAGAAAAUUUCAAUGAACAAACUUGUGGAGAUGGCAUACAAAAAGUGAAUG